GACGAACGCUGGCGGCGUGCUUAACACAUGCAAGUCGAACGGUAAGGCCCUUCGGGGUACACGAGUGGCGAACGGGUGAGUAACACGUGGGUGAUCUGCCCUGCACUUCGGGAUAAGCCUGGGAAACUGGGUCUAAUACCGGAUAGGACCACUGCCUGCAUGGGUGGUGGUGGAAAGCUUUUGCGGUGUGGGAUGGGCCCGCGGCCGAUCAGCUUGUUGGUGGGGUGAUGGCCUACCAAGGCGACGACGGGUAGCCGGCCUGAGAGGGUAACCGGCCACACUGGGACUGAGAUACGGCCCAGACUCCUACGGGAGGCAGCAGUGGGGAAUAUUGCACAAUGGGCGCAAGCCUGAUGCAGCGACGCCGCGUGAGGGAUGACGGCCUUCGGGUUGUAUACCUCUUUCAGCACCGACGAAGCGCAAGUGACGGUAGGUGCAGAAGAAGGACCGGCCAACUACGUGCCAGCAGCCGCCGUAA
rnacentral:rRNA from 1 species